rnacentral:rRNA from 1 species
UAAUACGAAGGGGGCUAGCGUUGUUCGGAAUUACUGGGCGUAAAGCGUAGGUAGGUGGUUUUCUAAGUCAGAGGUGAAAUGCCGAAGCUCAACUUCGGAACUGCCUUUGAAACUGGAAGACUAGAGUGAGUUAGAGGCAAGUGGAAUUUCUAGUGUAGGAGUGAAAUCCGUAGAUAUUAGAAGGAACAUCAAUGGCGAAGGCAGCUUGCUGGGACUCUACUGACACUGAGCUACGAAAGCGUGGGUAGCAAACAGG